CUUAAAAAUAUUUCUUAGAGCACUUAGUUUGUAAGAUUGUGUGAAACCUUAAAGGUGAAAGAAGUUCAGUCUUUAGAUCAAGAGUUAAAGUCUAAUAUGGAAUGAUUUCAACAGUCUUUCAAGAUAUCACCACAAUCCUUAACAGCAAUAGUGGGGCUGGUGAAUGCAUCCAUGAAGAUCCCAUGCAGCAGAAUUAAUGCAUCUAAUUCCUUGAGGUUCUUCAGCACUAAUCAACCUGCUCUUAAACCUGUUAAGAAGAAUGGAUGGAUGAACAGAGCAGAUAAGGAAAGGAAGUAUCAGAUGCAGAUGUUGAUACAGUAUGUCAUACAAAGGAAUCAGGCCUUGGGGAGACCUUACACAUGAGCCGAACACCAAAGAAAGGAGCAACAUUCAUUUUGGUCAUUGUGAUCAUUAUUUUUGAGGAAUAGCAUAGUUGUAUUUUUUCCUGUUUGCCAGGGAAAGAUGGAAUUUCUCUCUCAUCUUGGAGUUGCAAGGUACAGGAAUAUUUAAGUAUUUCAGCACCACCUGCUCUCCAAUACUGGAACUAAAGUGUGAAAUUAUAUUUACGAAACAUAAUUUAUGACAGCUUGCAGAAAAAUAUGGAAUCUGUAACUUUUUCCCCACCAGCUUUUGUUAUUCCCUUGGUGUUUGCCAAAAUAUUUUGUGCCUUUCAUUUGUCCUGUCUUGGCAAGGUACUCUCUAUGGCUGUGUGAUUAAUUACUUCAUUAAAUAUGAAUAACGAAAAAUGAUCAGUGUGUUAAAGGAUUGACCAAAAUCUUAGAUCUUUGGCAAUCAAAAUGCUGUCAUAGAAAUUGUAUGGUAUACCUUAUGUUCUAGAGGUGCAUUUGAAAAUGUUCCUACUAUUUAUUUACAUUCACAACCACAGAAUACAACAUAAUAGAAUUAACUAUUGUUUAAGAUCAUUGUACUAGUAAAAGGUCAAGGAAGGAGAGAAAGUCAGGGUAAGAAUAAACGCUAUUGAAUGUUGUAGCUACAGUGCAAAUAUGUUAUAAGUCUGCAGGUUG